GAGGGUACAGCUCAGUGGUAGAGCACGUGCUUAGCAUGCAUGAGGGCCUGGGUUCAAUCCCCAGUAUCUCCA
rnacentral:tRNA from 1 species